GACGAACGCUGGCGGCGUGCUUAACACAUGCAAGUCGAACGGAAAGGCCCUGCUUUUGUGGGGUGCUCGAGUGGCGAACGGGUGAGUAACACGUGAGUAACCUGCCCUUGACUUUGGGAUAACUUCAGGAAACUGGGGCUAAUACCGGAUAGGAGCUCCUGCUGCAUGGUGGGGGUUGGAAAGUUUCGGCGGUUGGGGAUGGACUCGCGGCUUAUCAGCUUGUUGGUGGGGUAGUGGCUUACCAAGGCUUUGACGGGUAGCCGGCCGAGAGGGUGACCGGCCACAUUGGGACUGAGAUACGGCCCAGACUCCUACGGGAGGCAGCAGUGGGGAAUAUUGCACAAUGGGCGGAAGCCUGAUGCAGCAACGCCGCGUGCGGGAUGACGGCCUUCGGGUUGUAAACCGCUUUCGCCUGUGACGAAGCGUGAGUGACGGUAAUGGGUAAAGAAGCACCGGCUAACUACGUG
rnacentral:rRNA from 1 species